rnacentral:rRNA from 1 species
CGAGCGGACAGAAGGGAGCUUGCUCCCGGAUGUUAGCGGCGGACGGGUGAGUAACACGUGGGUAACCUGCCUGUAAGACUGGGAUAACUCCGGGAAACCGGAGCUAAUACCGGAUAGUUCCUUGAACCGCAUGGUUCAAGGAUGAAAGACGGUUUCGGCUGUCACUUACAGAUGGACCCGCGGCGCAUUAGCUAGUUGGUGAGGUAACGGCUCACCAAGGCGACGAUGCGUAGCCGACCUGAGAGGGUGAUCGGCCACACUGGGACUGAGACACGGCCCAGACUCCUACGGGAGGCAGCAGUAGGGAAUCUUCCGCAAUGGACGAAAGUCUGACGGAGCAACGCCGCGUGAGUGAUGAAGGUUUUCGGAUCGUAAAGCUCUGUUGUUAGGGAAGAACAAGUGCAAGAGUAACUGCUUGCACCUUGACGGUACCUAACCAGAAAGCCACGGCUAACUACGUGCCAGCAGCCGCGGUAAUACGUAGGUGGCAAGCGUUGUCCGGAAUUAUUGGGCGUAAAGGGCUCGCAGGCGGUUUCUUAAGUCUGAUGUGAAAGCCCCCGGCUCAACCGGGGAGGGUCAUUGGAAACUGGGAAACUUGAGUGCAGAAGAGGAGAGUGGAAUUCCACGUGUAGCGGUGAAAUGCGUAGAGAUGUGGAGGAACACCAGUGGCGAAGGCGACUCUCUGGUCUGUAACUGACGCUGAGGAGCGAAAGCGUGGGGAGCGAACAGGAUUAGAUACCCUGGUAGUCCACGCCGUAAACGAUGAGUGCUAAGUGUUAGGGGGUUUCCGCCCCUUAGUG